AUUCCUUUCUCUCCCCAUACCUUUUUUUUUUCUCUCAACUGACUUUGAUUCUCUCUUCUCUCUCUUCCCGGUUCUAAAGAUAUCUUGUUGAGUUUGUUCAAGUUCCAUUUUUUCUUUUGCUUCCUCGAGCAAAAGAAUUAUGUCGAGAAAACAUGAAUGAUUGUAUGGAGGUGUUGUUCAUAGGAUCUGAAGGAAAGAAUGCUACACGUAUCUAUAGGGAUUUUAAUGAAGAAAAGAGGUUUAUCAAAUAAGAUAUGAAGAAACUAAAGUGAUGAAGAGAAGAAAUCAAAUAGGAAGAGAACAAGGAUACGAAGAUGAGGAGAAGAAGUCUUGAUGAAAUAAAAAGAGAACAAGGUUAUGAAGAAUGGUUUGUCUCUUUUGGAACUAAUUACUCCCUGUAUCUGCUCUAUCAACAAGAAUUAAGGAAAAAAAAGAUGAUUCAAAAGAAAGGAAUAAAACGGGUUCAGUCUUUAUUUGGAAGCAACAGCCGCUGCAUCUCUCCAUCUUCUCUCUGUAAAAGUUUUUUAGAUCCUUAAUUUUGCGUAAAUGAAAAUCAUGGAAGCAAUGAAUCAGGACAUUAAAUGGAUCAAUGGAUAUUGAAAGUUGAAAGCUAUUACUUUCACCACCCACAUGGAGUACAUGAAAAGUCAAAAGUAGCAACUCAUUUUUAUGACUAGCGGAGUUACAAGAGGAAAUCAAACAGAGGGAUUUAUGUAUCGGCUCGGCUCCGCUGGCCGGAUGGAAAUGUUUCUCAGCUGCUGAAUGGUCCACCCCAUGCUGUAAUAAAUUGGAAACUGACUCAGCUCCAGUAUAGUAAAGGGCCUAAACAUGACACAUUGACAAGACAGCAUGGGUGGGGCAAUUGUUGUUAUUAUUAUGCGGUCGAAAACGAUAUGACCACAUGCUGUAGGGCAGAAAAGAAAGAGAAAGGCGGAUGGGAUGGGUACAUACCACUGAUUUGAUAUGACCGCAUCGUUUCCAAACCCCAUUCAACCACGGUAAUGAGUUGGUUAUCAAAGUAUCAACGAGUCAGCUCUCUCCCAUAAGAUCGAUCUCAGCUAUCCACCGACAGCGGCAGUGGUUUUGUGCUAGAACUUACAAGUUGCAGUCAGCUCAUUUUUGCAGUCCCAAGUAUUAGCAAUAAUUUUGUGUUAGGCCGAGCACUACGUACGGUGGGUAAUCUCGGUUGGCUAUAAUUUUGUGUUUCUUCUUUUUUGAAUUAAAAUCCAAACGUUGAUGUGAAUGUAAUAUUCAUUAAAAUCAAAUGAAGAAAGACCAACUUAAUGUGUCAUACGAUGCUAA